GUGGGGAAUAUUGCGCAAUGGGCGAAAGCCUGACGCAGCCAUGCCGCGUGUGUGAAGAAGGCCUUCGGGUUGUAAAGCACUUUCAGUGGGGAGGAAAGGCGCAGGGCGAAUACCCCUGAGCGGUGACGCUACCCACAGAAGAAGCACCGGCUAAUUCCGUGCCAGCAGCCGCGGUAAUACGGAAGGUGCAAGCGUUAAUCGGAAUUACUGGGCGUAAAGCGCGCGUAGGCGGCUUGGUAAGUCGGGUGUGAAAGCCCCGGGCUCAACCUGGGAACGGCACUCGAUACUGCUGGGCUGGAGUACGAGAGAGGGGGGUGGAAUUCCAGGUGUAGCGGUGAAAUGCGUAGAGAUCUGGAGGAACACCGGUGGCGAAGGCGGCCCCCUGGCUCGAUACUGACGCUGAGGUGCGAAAGCGUGGGGAGCAAACAGGAUUAGAAACCCGGGUAGUCC
rnacentral:rRNA from 1 species